rnacentral:rRNA from 1 species
AGCAGCCGCGGUAAUUCCAGCUCCAAUAGCGUAUAUUAAAGUUGUUGCAGUUAAAAAGCUCGUAGUUGAAUUUCGGGGUUAGCAAGUUGGUCGUGCCUUUGGUAUGCACUGGCUUUGCUGAUUCCUCCUUCUUGAAGAACUGUGAUGCUAUUAAUUUGGUGUUGCAGGGAAACAGGACUGUUACUUUGAAAAAUUAGAGUGUUUAAAGCAGGCUAACGCUUGAAUACAUUAGCAUGGAAUAAUGAAAUAGGACGUUUGAUCCUAUUUUGUUGGUUUCUAGGAUUGACGUAAUGAUUAAUAGGGAUAGUUGGGGGCAUUAGUAUUCAAUUGUCAGAGGUGAAAUUCUUGGAUUUAUUGAAGACUAACUACUGCGAAAGCAUUUGCCAAGGAUGUUUUCAUUAAUCAAGAACGAAAGUUAGGGGAUCGAAGACGAUCAGAUACCGUCGUAGUCUUAACCAUAAACUAUGCCGACUAGGGAUCGGAUGAUGUUAAUUUUAUAAUGACUCAUUC